ensembl:lncRNA
ACCACAGGCCCUGAAGUCUUUUGGUUCUUGACAGUCUAUGACACAGACAUUCCAGAUGCCAGUGACUCUAGCAUGAGACACAAAACCCCGAGAAACCAGAGUGGCAGACAGAACAGAUAAGUGUCCCCUACGAUGGAGGGACAGUGCUAUGUGAAGGAAAAGUAUCCCCUUCUUGACCUGUGCUACACUGAACUACCCUGUUCCAGGGUUGUUGCCCUGUGUUUCUGCUACCCAUUUGGUGAUUGCCCCACUCUGGGAAGUUGUGUAAAAAUCUCUUGAUUCGAACAGAUGCUCUCGAGUGCUUUUCCAUUUUGAGUAUGAUAAAUGUGAAGCAGGCUGUUCCGAAUGGCACAGUUGUCUGCCCUGUGAAGAUUCCUGUGGAUGAUAGGGAAGUUUUAAAGAGCUUUUGAGUGUUUACAGGUUAUGUUGUAGUUAAAGGGACACUGCCUUUCGACAAAGCAGGUGCCUUCAGAGGUUUCUCGAGUCUCUGCAUGUAAGGUACAUGGAAGACUACACCCACAGCUGGCUCUUCACUGGGGACCAAAUGAUGACUGCCUGAGCUACCAGGUACCCAGAGCUUAAGGUGAAGUGGAGGCCAACAGUGGGGCCUUGGGUGUGAGACACUGAGGUUCUACAUUACUGAACAUUGUGUGAGUCAUGUGUGGGGUGCAGUCUGUUGCCAGCCAGUCUGUAAGACUCUGUCCAUUACAUAUGAGCUGAAGCCACUGGUACUUCUUGUCCAGGUCUUACUGGUCCUUCCUGCUGUAUGUCUUACUGCCCACGGUGCCACUGCUUUCUAAGUUGGCUUCAUACCUGGAAAGUAUGAAAAUAGCCCCUCAAGGAGAUGUUGGGGUGAAAAUGAGCAAUAAUUAUGUCUACAUUUUAUUUACUUGAACAAGUCAUCUGCCAUGAUGAUGGAUCAAAAUGGGGCCUUUUAAUCUAUAAGCCACCUUUUAAAAAAAGCAACCUGUGUUGGACACUGACGAGGUGUCUUUACUGUGCUAUGUAAGGUCACCCACCCCCAUUAUGAAGACGUUCCCUCAUUUGACUUUGUCCAGGUUUCUGCUUCCUUCCAGUGCACGACAGGUGGCAGAUGUUGGAUUAAUCUGUACAGUGGGCCUGUCUACUCAAGACCUGGCUGUGCAGCUGCAGAUACUGAAGAGUGUGUGCUCAUGGAUACUGGUCGGAAGAUCUCUGGCCUCCCACAGACCUUGCCAAAGGAUGCUCAGAGCUCCACGCACUUGGCUUCUUACUAUUUGGAAUUUCUGCCUGUGUCCUAUGUGUAAUUAGGAAAUAGCCUAUUGUGACUUGUUCUAGUCACCCCUCCCCUACACCACCAGACUCAGCCUGUUUUGAUUUUCUAAGUUUUUGGACUAGAAGCAAAAACAAAGAUUUUUCUUAAAGCAAUUUCCUGUAAAGCUGCUUUUCAGACUUGUCUUCACAGGUGGAAAGAUCAUGAACUCUGCCGCUUCCAUUAGCUCUUCCAAGACAUGGCUAGGGUGAGAGUCUUUGAAUGGCCCUGCUUGACCAUUUGUUAUGACCAUUCCAUAACAAUAUUUUUUAAUUAACUUUGUUAGUAUUUCAUAGAAUACUGUGUUCUUCAUGAAUUGUUACUGAUGUACAUGUAGAAAUAUUGGCACCACGUGUCAUUACUUAUCCUGGAUAAUUCCUCCUGAGUCUAUAUCAUUGUCUGGUCUGUUGUAAACAACACUGGAUUGACCUGAGCCAGCCAUCUUCUUACUCACUGCACCCAUGGUUAAAAAGAUAUGCACAUUUCUAAUUUCAAAAAUACUUUAGGGACUAUAGAGACAGACUAAUGGUUAAGAACUAGUAUUAUGUUUCCUGGUGAGGACCCAAGUUCAGUUCCCAAAACUCAUUUAGAGUGCUUCACCAACUGCCUGUAACUCCAGCUUUAGGGAUUCUGAUGCCUCUGGCUGCGCUGGGCAUCUGCAUUCAGGCUUGUGUAUGCAUAUACACAUGCACAACUUAAAAAUAAUGCAUUUGCUGGGUGGUUGUGGUACAUGCCUUUAAUCCCAGCACUUGUGAAGCAGAAGCAGGUGGAUCUCUGUGAGUUUGAGGGCAGUCUGGUCUACAGAGCACGUUCCAGGAUAGCUAGAGUAAUACAGAGAAACCCUGUCUUGAAAAACUAGAUAGAUACACUUUUAAAAAUUUCAUGCUUUGGGGUAUACCUUAGUAGCACAUCACUGGCAUGCAUUAUGGGGCUCUUGAGUUGAUCCCAGCAGCAGACAUUGGAUAGAGGGAUGAAGGGGAGAAAAGCCCCUCCCCCAAACUUCCACUAGUAAAAGACAAGGAAAAAUUUUUUUAAUGUAUUCCUGAUUUCUAUGCAUUGAUGUUUUGCCUGCAUGUGUAUCUGUAUGAGAGUGUUGGAUCCCCUGGAACAGAUAGUUAUGAGCUGCCAUGUGGCUCCUGGGAAUUUCAUUUGGGUCCUCUUGAAGAUCAGCCAUCUUACCAGCUCUUGUUUUGUUUAUUUUUAAACUACGUCAUCAUGGCACAUACAUUAGACUUACAUAGUAAUUCAAGACUAGUUCGGGCUACAUAUUGAGACCAAGUUUCAAAAUAAAUUUUAUUAUUUCUUGAAUACCAGGAUUAUAAUCGUUCCUCAGGUAGUGGUGGUUUACACUUUUAAUCCCAGUACUCAGGAGAUAGAGACAGGUGAUUCUUUGUGAGUUCCAGGCUAGCCUAGUCUACAAAGCCAGUUCUAGGAUUGCCAGGGCCAUGUCUCAAAAAACAAAAUUUGAGAUAAAUAAAAAUGAUGAAUCAGAGGAGAUUAAAUAAUAAAGGUGGGCUGGAGAGAUAGCUCAGCGGUUAAGAGCAUUGACUGCUCUUCCAGAGGUCCUGAGUUCAAUUCCCAGCAACCACAUGGUGGCUCACAAACAAAAAAGUGGGAUGUGAUGCCCAUUUCUGGUGUGUCUAAAGACAGCUACAGUAUACUCAUAUAUAUUAAAUCUUAAAAGAAAAGAAAGAAAAAAGAAUAAAAGCUGCUCAUGGGAUUCAGCCAAGUGAUAUCUUCUUAACAUUGGAAAAGGGUAAAUAAAUAUGUUACUAUGGGAAACCAUGCCAAUGCCUUCUGAGAUUGCAUUUACCUAUGUAACCUAUACUGUCCUUGAAGUCCUUGAACUCUAGACCUUCUAAUUCAACAUUCUUAGUACUGAGAUUACAAGUAUUUCACCACUCCUGACCCCCUCUGCCUUUGAGCAACAAUCUUUUGUUUUUUCUUAACUUGUAAACAUUGACCUCCCCUUCAUCUCUUCAUUACCUCGACCCUUUGGUUCUUGUGCUUGGGAUAGAACUUAAGGCUUCAAGAAUGCAAGCUAGGCUGCUAUUCUUUCUCUGAGAUAUGGCGUCCAGCCUGUUUUCCUAGUUUAUAAAUACCUUUGCUCUCUGCAUGGAUUAGAACAGGACAUACUGAUUGUGGACAAAUAGUACCCACCACAAUUCAAAGUUUAGUAGGUUUUAACUUUGGUGUCUCUGAAGUAUGUUUUCCUGGGGACUCUGAUCCUGACUUUGGUGGCUAUUGAACCCUCCCUGACAUAUCCAAGUUUAGUUUUAAACAAAUCAAGUUGGCAAGUUGUGUGUGGUGUUUUUGUUUGUUUUCACUUUUCAUUUCUGGGUCUUAAACUGCAUAUUAAAUUCACUUGUAAUGUCUGGAUUCAGAGAUAGUUGUGAGUCUGUGUUUACUCAGUGUUGGCGUUUUGGAACAGGCCACAGUUUAGAGUAGUAAGUUGUCUUCGUCAAAGCCAAGUCAUAUUUGCUUUAUACCAAACAAUAUUAGAGAACUAAAACACAUCAUAAAAUGUAUACUGUUUUGUAUUUCACCUCUUUCAGUAUUUAAUUAUAUUAAUGCCUUCUAGAAUUCUGUUAGAUAAUUCAUUGAUUCCUGAAAUAAAUUGGUAUUGUG